rnacentral:misc_RNA from 1 species
CGACAGCUCCCAGUUCGAUUUGAACUGCGGGCUGUUGAUCGGCCGCACGUCGGUAUGACCAUCGACGCGCAGCACCCAGGCGAUCUCCGCCGGAAUCUGCUUGUCGAGAUCAAUCAGCGCGGUGGCGAGCUUGUCGAGUUCAGCGCGGCCUUCAGGCAGCAGCAGCGCCUGUCCGGUGUCGAAGAACACUUCGGACUGGAACACGAAACGGUCGCC